UGUUGCUGACAGUCCUAAAAUCAGCCCUGGUGAAGAUUUCUGGAGAAGCCCAGUUAAGACUUUUCUGUGRAGAAAGGGUGUGCCACUUCAAGCACACACAAACUACAAAGGAGAAGCACCCAGCAAAUGAGCCCCAGAGUGAGGGGGAAAGACAGGAGGAGAGCUGAGAGGGUGGUCUCCCAAGCCAAUGGAAAGAGCUCCAGAAAGGAGGGAGAUCAAUGCUGAGAUCCUGGAAGAAACCCCCAGUCACUGUGGGUUUUUAUGAAAAUGAGGAGGGGAAAGAAAUUCUAAUCAGAGAGAGUUCAACAAGAAACAGAAAAUAAGAAAAUGGAGGUGGCACAUGAAGCAAGCUUCAAGGAUGGAAAAAAAUGGAGAUAUAAAGACGACCAGUAUCUUGCUCACAGCCACCUAGCUAACAACUGGCAGAACUGAAUCUGACCCCCAGCCCGUGGUUCUUGCCAACAUGCUAUUCUACCUCCCGAGCAKAACUUCUCCGGGCAGAGGGUCGAUAUGUACAGACACACAGGGUGUCUCUGCCCAGGGACUCAGGAGGAUAAAGGGAGACGAAACAAUACAAACAACACUGGAUUUAGCCUGGGGUUCCCAAGGCAUGGGUUGUGUCUGACUCUUUCACAUAUAUUCUCAAUAAAUCCUCAGAAUAAUGUAGGUAUUACACCCACAUUAUGAUAUUAGAAACUGAGAUUCCAAAAAGCUAAGAAUCCUUCCAAAGCAGAUGAGUUCUGGAGUUGGAUUAAAAAUCCAGGGGUGCCAAUCUCCAAAUCCAUUGUCUGUCACACAGUUAAACAACCUACAGGGAGGUGUAAACUAAAAAGAGCAACAUGCUGUAGGAAAAAAAAAAAAAAAAAGCAAUCACUCUCUGCAAGUACCAGGAAGAG